AAACAGGAAUAUUGAACCAGCAUGCAAGUAACAAAAACAACAUCAGUGUAUUUUAAAAGUGCUGAGAAAAGCGACAUGUGUUCUCCAAAAAAACCAAGACAUCCGACAGAGUUUAUUUUCCUGAUAUUACUGCAUGUGAGACAGGGAAAAUUAUAGAAACUUCAGGAAGCUGAUCUCGGGAAAGAUAGUUUGGUGGUAGCCAGGGGAUGAAAGGGGGAGGUGCUCUAGUCUCCCUGUCUACAACAGUGAUGAGAUUCGUACCCUCUUCCCAACUUUCCUACUUGUUUAACAGUGCUCAAAGGUUUCCCUUUCGGGGCAAGAAUCAACCUGGUGUCAAUCAAGACUUCUACCUCCCAAUGCGUGUAUUUCCUGAGCCACAAUUGGAAGUGGGAUAUAGACAUACGUUCGAGUACACAUCACCAUCGACGACCUGGUCAGUGAGGAAAGGAGCAGCAGAUGAUCAGGAGAUGAUGGCGGGUCAGGUGCAGGCCCGGGGUGCAGGUGGUGAGCAGAAUGAUGCUUGGAAGGCAUCCGAUGGUUAUCCUGUGGUGAGAUGAGGUCUGACAAAGUUGUGUACCCGCAGUUUUACCAUGAGAAGGAAUAUCUAGGUAGUGGAUGGUGUAUUUCAUCCUAUACGAUGAGACCAUGCCGAUGCCAUGAUUAAUUGGAAACUUCACCCUAUGCAGUCUCAUCAUGAUGAGAGGUGAUCAAGGAUCCAGUUGAUGCCGGUCCGCGAGUCCGAGCCGGAGUCCGAGGAACUUCACAUUACAUGGCGGGAAUAUGCCAUAGGAUGAUAAGGGUUGUUUUACAAUCAGAGUCUGUUUUAAAAUCUUCUGUGCACCAUUAAAAACAAGAAAUUAUGACUAAUUAAGUCAUAAGGCACUGAGCUGCAAGACAAUACUGAAAUACACGUUUACUUCUCAAAGACAACAUCUUGUAAGGGCAUCAGGGCAAACAUUACUAUCUCAUUUUGUUUUUUCCCCAAUUUUAAUUAUUAUUAUGAGCUUUCAUAAUGCAUUGAAUUACCAAUCAUAAUUAAUUAUUGAAAUGCGAAAUUUGAAAAAGGAAAGCCCAUGAAGAAAGCUACAGAUAACCUGAUUAUUUGUGUGACUUUUAGCCCGAAAUGGGGUAUUCUGUCCAAAAUGUCCUCUCAGGACUCGGUAGUCACGUGUAGUUAUACUUUACUUGAUUAUAAUAUUUAUGUCUCUGCAAAAUAUUUUAUGCAACAAACUUAAAUUAGUGACGAAUACCAAAAAAAUAAGUGAAAUGAGACGUGCAGUAUACUCUGAUUGUAAAACAAUCCUUAAAGUAGGAUUCAAUACCAACCAAAUCAUUUCAUCUUCCUUCCAUGAAUGCAGCAAUUUACUCUUCUUUUUUUUAAAUAUAUUUGAAUGGCGUUAUUCAGAAAGAUAACUUUAAAAAGACAAGAUUACAAUUGCUUUGUCUAUCUUGGGCACGGGAAAAUUUGCAUUUUAUACAUUCCCUAAAUAGGUAUUUAUAGGGAGUAGGCCUGUUAAAUGUCCUGAGGGCAUUCCCGUGCUUUAUGCACACUUAAAAUGUUGGGAAACAUACUGUCCACUGUGUUGGGUAAUGUAUGUUUGUAAAAAUGAUAUAUAUAUUCUGGGCAAUUAUUAUCCAAUUUAGCAAAUUUAUUACCCAAUUAUGGUUUUAUAACCCAAUUUGGACAGAUUUUAACCAAUAGCUGUGUAGACACUGGGCGAUUUCAAGUUCAGUGUUGACCUUUUGGUGUUGGUGUUUGGUCAAUUUUUACACGAUUAUAACACCAAACAUAAAAUGAAGAUGGUCCCGAAAAGUCACUCACUAGUUGUUGAGAUGUCAAUAAUGUGAUCUGGAUCAGUUUUACAAACUCUGAAUAAGUUUUGGAACUAGGGGAAGCAAUCCAAAUUUCAACACCAACACCAAGGCCAACACCGGACUUGAAAUCACCCAGUAUGUUGCCCAGUGAUGGUUAAAAAUUGGGCCUUUUUUGCCCAUCCUUUUUAAGAGUGGGAAAAGUCUCUGAUAGGCUAAAGGAGAAGACGAUAUUUGGUUAUUUUGUUCUAUGUCAUUUAUCAUUCAAGGCUUCAUUUUGGAUUUUAGUGAAAAUACCACUUGGGAACCAGUAUUAAGUCUUUAUAGGCUUUAAAGGACAAUGUUAUUUAAAACUAACUCCAAAGCAUUGGAACAAGGCGACCAAGUUAAUAAUCAUGACACUUUCAAUUUUCAAUAGUGAAAUUUAAGGCUAAGUUUGCAAAAUAACAUUUUCAGCAAAAAAAGUGUAGGCUUUCACGUCGUUUUGUCGGAAAGACAACCCACAUUUUCCUGAUUAGGCCCUCUUGACCCAGGUGUAGUAAGUGGGGCCAGUAUGCAGCGCUUAGAAACAUAAUCGCUACAUAAAUUUUGCAUAUUUUUAUUGUAAUAUAUAUUUUUGUGAUAGGUUCAAGCUAAGAUUGAUUGAUUUAUCGAUUUUUGGACCAGUGAUGUACAUUCCGUAGUGUUGAGCUCUUUUAUUUAUUUACUUUUUUGGGGAGGGGGUUAGGGUCUUCAUUUACCAUGCAUUUUGAUAUUGGUGGUCCACAAAUUAAGUGCGGAAGUAGAUAGCACAAUAAACAUAUCUAUGGCCCAUAGCCCCAUCUCGGAUGUAAAUUCAUAUCAUAAAACGAAUACUCUGUAAUAAGGCAAACAAUUCAACAGGCCCAUUCAUUGAAUGGGUUACAUUUUGGACAUUCAUUUCUGGAAAGUAAGGAACAAUGUCUUCCUAAACUUUUUAAUUAAUGAAUGGAUAAUAAUACUGAAAGUCCAGUUUACCUCAUUCCUUGUUUGUUUGGUAGAAAAGUUUCAUCUCAUCUAAUUUGAAUGGCAAGUCCACCCCAACAAAAAGUGGAUUUGAAUAAUCAAACAAUCAAAAUCCAAAUUUUCUCAAAUCAGAUGUAAAUAAGAAAGUUUGAAAAUUAUCAGUUUGAGAGAGACAAAGGGGAUCAUAUGUAAAUGAAAGAGUCGAUAAUGUCACACACUAACUAUUUCUUUUGUAUUUGACAAGAUGAAAUGUAGGCAUUUCAAUUUCUGCAGAUUUGGCAAUUAGAAAGCAUCUUCAUUGAAUAACAAUGAUUAUAUUGCAACAUGGUUAAUCCCACACACUUAAAGAGGAAUCAAACCUUGUUCUGCAUCAUUAUGAGGAAAAUAUGAAGUCAUUUCAGAAUUCACAUGAUAAUAAAAUAUAAAAGAAAUGGUGAGUUGAUGGCGUCGCAUAGAGAUAUAUUACUAGUAUAUAUCUCUAUGUGGCGUGCAGUGGCCUCAUUUGCAUACUGACCAGAAUUAAGUGAAACUAUGAAAUGCCAUCAGUUUGUUAGUUUACAUGAGGCUGUAAAUUUGUAUCCUAGUUAAGAAAACAUUGUGGUAGGCCUAUUUCUGAAAUUCACCUACAUAGUCCAAAAUAUCAGUUCAUUUGCGACUGACAUUUGGGCAAAAUUUAAGAAUUUGUUAUUUUGCCUGGUGGGUGGUUUCAUGAAACCAUUUGAAAGUUACGACUGACUUUAUGCCUGACUGGUGACCCUUUCUUGUGCUAUAUUUUAUAUCAAUGUGUAGCUGACUUAGCACCUAAGAACUUGCUCUAGUCAUACAUAAAGUCGUGCGUAACUUUACAAAGAGCUUCAUGAAACACCCAUCUGGGCCCCGUCUUACAAAGUGUUACGAUUGAUCUGAUCAACCACAACUAUGGAAAGCCACCAACAUCAACAUCUAAAAUGCAUGUUUGUUCAAAAAUGUUUUCUAGAUGUGAUGUAUAAUCAUACAUUUAUUGUUUUCUUGAAAAUUUAGUGUGCUUCUCUUUGCUUACAAUGACAUUUUUCACAUUUCCUGUGGAAAAAUUCUGACAUUGAUUGAUUUCUAUAUAGUUGAGGAUGAUCGUAUCAAUCGUAACUUUUUUAAAGACGGCCCCUGGACUGUAAAUGAUUGUGUUACACCUCAUUUUGGCUUCUUGUAUUUAUUCUUGUACCCGGUUUCAUAUAACACUUGUCCCCUUAAUCACCCUCCCCUUUCUCUCUCUCUCUCUUUCAUUCUCUCUUCUCUUCCUUUCUCUCCCAUCUCUUUUCUCUCUUCUGGGGAGUGUUUCAUCAACAUUUUUGUCCGACAAGUUGUCAGAUCUGACAACUUUCCUUGAUUCUGAUUGGCUGAGAGGGACUGUUACUAUGGUAACUGUGGGAUAAAACAGGACUUGUCGGAUAAAACGUCCGACAAGUCUUUUCAUGAAACGCUCCCCUGAAGGUACUUUCACAUUUGGUUGUGCAAUCAUAUGUUGUUACAAUAUAUUUUACACAAAACAGCAAUGCUUCUAACUGUUGCAUGACCAAUUUUGAAAGCCCCUUUAAUAUAGAUGUGUACAGACCAUCCCAUGGAAGAGGAAACCAGGAUUUUCAGUUUAUUGGGAGUCAUUUUGUCAACAUUUGCAAAUGAUUAUUGAUCUUUCAUUGACAUGUAAUUGUCUUUUUUAACCUCUUUAAUAUCACUAGGUCCAAAGCUGCCAUCCCCAUUUGGGGGGAAAAAGAUCAUAUUCUUAUUUCUUUUUGUCCUAUUUCCAUGCCUAAACUCUUAUGUUUCAAAUUUUGAAAAUCAUUAAAAAAGUAUCAUUCUUACAAGUUUGAAAAAUCCUAUCCGAAAGUGAAAAAUCAUUUUCAGUAUCAUCUUAAAAAUCCUACUACUUGGCUGCUCUACUUGGUCCCACAUAGAUGUAACAAAAUUUUUUGAUUUAUAGUUUAAACAUAUGUAAUGAUUUGUAA